AUGCAAAAACAGUGUGAUUUUAUAUAUAUAUAUAUAUAUAUAUAUAUAUAUAUAUAUAUAUAUAUAUAUAUAUAUGUCUGUAUGUGUGUAUAUGUAUAUAUAUAUAUAUAUAUAUAUAUAUAUAUAUAUAUAUAUAUAUGUAUGUAUGUAUAUGUUAAUAUUUUAUUGAAACCAUUGAUGUCCCUCUUUGCAGAACUCAAACUAAGUUUAAGGACACACAAGUCUGCUUGUGUGAGGAGGUGGUUUUCUCAGCUUCUUCUGAAGAGAGGGAAAGAUAGUUUAAGAUGUUAAAAGCAAGAGACAUGGGAGAGCGUCAUUCCUUUGAGAUUUUAUAACUCAAACCAACUUUGGAGUUGUCUGAUUUGGAGAGUCAUCAUUCUUGGUCUUCGCUCUUAGAGGUAAAGUUCACACAAAAAAUCAUUUACUUGCCCUCAAGUCAUUCCAAACCUAUAAGACUUUUGUCUGUCUUUACAACAUAAAUUAAUAUAUUUUUAGUUUUCUCAUAAUAUUUGUUAAUCCAUUUAUAGUUUAGAUAAUCAGUAUUUUCAAGCUUCAUAAAUAUAGAGUUAUUGUAGAAGUAAAUUCUGGUAUUUAUAUAUGAAUACAUCUUAAAUUAUAUGAUAGCAAACAUGUGUGUUCAAAAUAAAAUACUGGUCUCCCAGACCAGCAAUGGAGGACACAAAAAGAGAAUAUUAAAUAUAUUCAUACCUUUUCCAAAAAAUGAGCAGAGUUUGUAUGAGUCUGGAAAAACAUGAGGAGAGUAAAUUAUAAACAUUUUAAUUAUUUGUUGAACUAACGGUUUGAAGAGCAGCCCUCCAUGUACAUGAAUAUUGUGAGGUAUGUGAAUGUCAUGUCUGUUUUAAUGUUUCAGUAAAGAAGCUUUCUGAAAGCAAUAUUUAUUCAAACAAUAUCGCAUGUCCUCACACUAGUGCUGCCAUUAUAGCCUCCUGGAGCGCUGUGGUGGACUGAGACAUUAAACAACCGCACAAAGUGUUGAAACUUUAAAACCGAUUAUUUUCCUAUCCUUACGGAUGUGAAUACACCUCUACCUGAAAAUGGAUAGUUUAAUUAAAUGUUUAAUUUUUUCAAAUGUGUUUCUCUUAGGCCACUGAUGAAGAACAGGCGGUGACUGGGAUGAAUGCUGGUCAGAGAGGAGAAUCUUCUUUCCCCUAAACAGCAGUGGUUUUAAAGGAGGACGCUGCCCUGGAUGAUGUAGAAGAUGUCACAUGCUGUGCUGAUGGGGUUUCUUCAUGAUUACAUCAGUUAUGCUAAAGAGAUCAUGAAAAUUGACUGUGAUGCAUGAUCUGUAUUCAUGGACUAUGAAACAAACUGUAAGUGUAUAAUUUGUUAAAAAAAAAGUUAAAUGCUUUUUCUGUGUUGUUUAGUAGAAGAGUUUACACUCUGUCAUUCAUACACCUGCUCACAUUCUUUCACACACACACACACAAAUGCGUCUGUUGAAUGUUAUAAUAUCAAAGUUAAUGUUGUGAUUUAUUUGUGUACUGUCAUGCCAGAAUAGGUGGAAAAAAACCUAACUAACUGUAAAUUUAUUGUAUGUGUUUUCGUAUAUUUUUAUACAAUAUAUACAAUUGAACAAAGUCCAAUUUGAUCUUAAGUUAUAUUCAUCAAAUGUUCAAUGCUUGGUUUAUGAACUCUGUAGCUGUUAAUGCCAUCCUUUUCUGCAUUUCUUCUAACAUGUUACUUUUUGACUUUUCUCUUGUUUUUAAUAAAUAUUUUCCUUUUGGUAAUUAUUAUUUGUGUGUAAAAGUGAUAUUUAAAAUGAACAACAUUUGUAGGUUUAAUGCCUAGCUCAAUUUGGGUUAAUUUUAACGUAGAAAUGCAUUGUUUCCCCACAUGGCUGCACUCUGCGAGUUUAUUUUCUGCCAGCAGGAGGCGCUAAGAGCGGGAGAGGUAGGUUUCUCCGGUAACGGCUGCAGAGCGGUGCUGAGCUCACAAACGCUGCCUUAUCAAGCACAUGCGAAAUGAUAUCGAACAUUUUCUAAAUACAGUAGUUUUCCUUCUGUAAUACAGUGAUAAAAAACCACCCGCUCUGUUUUUUUUAAACCCUGCAAUAUAGUCAUUUUAAACCAUAAAAAAGGCAACCCAGCAGGCUGGGUUAAAUAUGAUAACCCAACUAAUGAUAACCCCUUUUUGACCCAGCGCUGGGUUGUCAAAAUAACCCAAAUUGGGUUGUUUUCAACCCAGCAGUUUUUAGAGUGCACACACACAUAUAUAUAUAUAUAUAUAUAUACACACACACACACACACACACAAAAUCAACCAACCUGUAACCGGAAAGUUUACAUUUACAACUGAUGAGUAGUUUACACUUUAGACUGUGGGUACAGAAAGCUUUGUAAGUUAUUUAUAACUUAAUCUACAGAACAUAGAUAAAAAUAUUAACAUCACUUAUUAAUCAUCUAUGAACACAUAGUCAUGUUUUGUGAAUGAUUAGUUUACCAGUUGUUAAUUACUUUUAUUACAUGGCUCUGUGGGUACUUGAUUCUGAUUGGUCAGUUGCGACAUUCCGAUGUAUGUUAUCCCUGGAUAACAACCUGUAAAAUGUAAUAACACAGGCUCAUCCGGGUAACAGCAGUUGGCGCUGUACUCUUGCUUGAACUAUUUUUUUCUUGGUGGAAGCUCUGCAUUUGUUUAGCUAAUAAAAUAUAAAAUCUUUAUUCAAAGUUGUGUACAAUUGUUUAAUUAUGUCAUCCUGGUUAGGUUUGGCCUGAUUGAAGAUGCCAUCGUCCAUCGCCGAUGGCUGAUAGACAUCACGAUGCUGCGCCGGACACAGCGUCAUCAGCUCCAGUAUCUCGCCCGUGCAUCUGUUGUCAUGCAACAGAGAAGUCACGUUCUAUAGACAGUUUCUAUAGACAGUUGUGAGGGUGCUGACAGCUGGUUGCCUAGGCUAUGGAUUAAAGGUAAUACUGUUGUAAGUAGUGUUCAUUUUCUCCUACAUACCGAUCAUUUUGCUUCAUUAGACCUCAAUGUAUUACCAGUAGCCACCGGUAUUGAUUUGGUCUUGUUUUUUUUUUUUUUUUUUUUCUGGACAUCCACACAGCACCACAGAAUCAACUAGAGAUCGACUGAUAGUGGAUUUUACCAAUAAUUUUGGACCACACUGGCCGAUACCGAUUUAUAAACCAAUAGUUUUUAAAAUGAAUACUGAACGAAAUGUAUACUGAACGAGAGCAGCGGUCUGCUGUCGCGCUGUGGGUUCCCGGGUUUGUGUCCAUUCUCGGACCAUUCCAUGUAUUUCAACUGUAGAAAAGGUUGUUCCGAGUCGAAACUGACUUCUUUCAUAUUUGUUGACCAAUAUACAGAAAACUAAAUCAGUAUAUCAUCAUAAACACAUACUUUUUUGUCUUACAUGAAUGUAAACAGAUGAACAGAUGAGAAAGAAAACAAACACGUACAGUAUUUUUGUUUAAAGAGACAACAGCCUAAUAAAUGCGUCUGUCAUUAAUGUUAAUCAAAGAACAAAAGAAACAAAAGAAAAACAUUCACUGAUCUCGACUGAAUAUAUUUAAUAACUUAGAGAUUGAUUAAUCUUCAUUUUAUUUAUAAAAAGAA
ensembl:lncRNA